UACAAUCCGUGAACUGGCGGAGACCAAACUUGAAAAUUAAUUAAUUAAUCGAAUUAUCAUCUCUGCACGUGUCUCCUUUUUGUACGCUCUGUAUGAUUUCAUUGUUUUUUAUUAUUACAAGUACUUUGUGUCAAGUUGAAUCUGUAUUGAGAAAAUAAAGAAGAGUUAUGACUAAGGAUGGUAAUUGUACCCGCAAACUCGUAAAUUUAUCUAAAUUCACCCGUUAAAAUUCGUUUGCUGUGGGUAAUUUUAUCCGUUGCGGGUGGGUUUAGUAUUAUAAACUAAAAUCCGCAUAUGGAUGCGGGUGUGUUUGGUAUUAAUCUUAUAUCUGAUGGAUACCCGCAUGGAUAUCCACCAAACCCGCAAUAUUUUUUUCAAAUAUUUUUAAUUUAAUUUUAAUCUAAAAAUGUAUAAAGAAAAUAAUGUCAUUAUUUAAAUUACCAAAUAGUCAAAAGCUCAAAGUUGUAUAUGUGUGUAUGUGACCCAUCUCCCAUUCUAAAGUCAUAACCUAAAGAAAACUAAAGUCAUUUCCCUUCGAAUUAAUAUUUGAAAAUAUUAAUCUUAAUUAUUAUUAUAGGCAUUGUGUUGGAUGGGUGCUUAUGGUGGUGAAUGAAAUGAAUAUCUUCUCUUGGAGCUUGUUUUAAAUGAUAAUAUGAAAUGUAAUUAUUAUUUUUAGAUACUAAUUUGUAUUUUUUAAAUGAAUUUGUGUAAUUUAUACUUAAAUUUGAGAAUUUGUGUUGAAUUGAUGUGGAAAUUUUACUUUUUUAUUUACAUUAUUUAAAUAUAAAAUUGAGUAUGUUAUAUGGAAUUUGAGGUUAUUAUUAUAAAUUUAUAUAUUAAACAUUUGUGAUUUUAAAUACGGAAACCCGCAAAAAAUCCGCCGGGUACCAUUGCGGGUUUGGUAAUUGUUAAAACCCGCUGUGGGUGGGUUUUUUUAAAAAAACUAAAACCCGCUGCGGGUUGCGGGUGGGUUUGGUAAUUUAAAUUUUGUGCGGGUUUGGGUUUGGUAAUGGCAAACCCGCUGCGGGCGGUGCCCAUUGCCAUCCCUAGUUAUGACAUAUUUAUUAUACUUUGACGGGACAAAAAUUAUACAUUACUUUUAUGGAACAAUUUUUUCAGAUAUAUGGAAUGUGUAGCUAGAUCAAGAGAUAAAGAGUUAAAGAGUUGAGAUUAGCUUCAAUCUCCAUAGCCUAAAGUUCAUCCUAUAUUAAUGUAGGAUUUUUCCUUAAUUAACAUCUGUUAUGUGCAC
rnacentral:lncRNA from 1 species